rnacentral:rRNA from 1 species
CACGUAGGGCGCGAGCGUUGUCCGGAAUUAUUGGGCGUAAAGAGCUCGUAGGCGGCCUGUUGCGUCCGCUGUGAAAGCCCGGGGCUUAACCCCGGGUCGGCAGUGGAUACGGGCAGGCUAGAGGCAGGCAGGGGAGAACGGAAUUCCCGGUGUAGCGGUGAAAUGCGCAGAUAUCGGGAGGAACACCGGUGGCGAAGGCGGUUCUCUGGGCCUGUACUGACGCUGAGGAGCGAAAGCGUGGGGAGCGAACAGG